UCUUACAGAAGAGCAAAGGAAGUGAUUUCUUGAGAUGGAACCUACUUCUGGUGAAAAUGCUGUGAA
rnacentral:pre_miRNA from 1 species